rnacentral:rRNA from 1 species
UAGGACUAGCGAUUGGGGUGAAGUCGUAACAAGGUAUCCGUACGGGAACGUGCGGAUGGAUCACCUCCUUU